AACGAUAGAGGCGCAAUCGAGAAAAGUAAACCGCCGAAAACGACUGUCGGGUCGGGCGGAAGAAAGGCGAGGUUGCCGAAGCGAAACGUUUACCGAAUUUUAGGCUUUUCGCUGGCUCGUAACGGAACACGUUACGGACUGUCACGAGUAAUCGUGGAGCGCUACCGU
rnacentral:ncRNA from 1 species